rnacentral:rRNA from 1 species
UGCAGAAUCCCGUGAACCAUCGAGUCUUUGAACGCAAGUUGCGCCCGAGGGACCCUCCCGAGGGCACGCCUGCCUCAUGGGCGUUAGAAGCCCAUCCACGCUCGGAUGCCUUGCCUCGUGCAUUGCUUGAUGCGGACGCUGGCCCUCCGAGUCGCGAGAUGCGGUGGGCUGAAGUGUACGGCCGUCGGAUGGGGCUGGGAGCGGCGAGUGGUGGGCUGCUGCGCACGUCGCCCCCGACCCCCAUGUCGGCGUAUGGUUUGUUGGUUUGAACCCCUAACGAGGAGUUUGCUGUCGCGGCAUUACGUCGUGUGGCAUCUUCGGACCGAUACCCCAGGUCAGGCGGGGCCACCCGCUGAGUUUAAGCAUAUAAAUAAGCGGAGGAGAAGAAACUUACAAGGAUUCCCCUAGUAACGGCGAGCGAACCGGGAGCAGCCCAGCCUUAGAAUCGCGGCGGCUGUGCCGUCCGA